CUUUCUUUGCUGGCGACCGGCGCACGGGUGAGUAACGCGUAUCCAACCUGCCCUUUACUCGGGGAUAGCCUUUCGAAAGAAAGAUUAAUACCCGAUAGCAUAAUGAUUCCGCAUGGUUUCAUUAUUAAAGGAUUCCGGUAAAGGAUGGGGAUGCGUUCCAUUAGGUUGUUGGUGAGGUAACGGCUCACCAAGCCUUCGAUGGAUAGGGGUUCUGAGAGGAAGGUCCCCCACAUUGGAACUGAGACACGGUCCAA
rnacentral:rRNA from 1 species